GUUGUUUGUUUUGCCGUAGCGUUGUGCAAACUGCAAGCAAAGAGAUUUUAAACACUACGUUAAACUGUUUUGUUGUAAGUUUUUUUUGUUUGUUUCGACUCAGUGCGAUCCAAAUAUCUUGAGAAAGUGACUCUGAAUUGUGUGUUGCGAGAUAUUGACUCAGUUUAUGCGUUUUGAGAUAGUGACUGUACCUACCUACCCAUGUGUUUUUUGAGAAAUUGACUCUGUUUCUGUUUUUUGAGAAAGUGACUCUGUUUGACUGUUUGUGUACAUAUUUCGAGAAAGUGAAAGUGACUCUUAGAACGUGACCAUGUCGUCGGUAAUAAACGCCGAAAGUCGACGACGAUGUUAUAAGUGUGGACGUUCACCGGCUGAGGACUCACUAACUACAUUGUUUCGCUUUCCUAAACCCGGAAAAACGAACACAUUACGCUGUGAAUUAUGGGCAAAGUACUGCUUUCCUGAUAAACAAUACUGGUCACCAGAAUUCCAGAAUAAACUUCAUACAGAACAUAAAAUGCUCUGCAAUAGACAUUUUCCAAAGACAUCAUUUAGUGAUUACCCGGAAACUUCAAAGAAGCUUCACAGAUUUGCAGUACCUAGUGACAUCAAAGAGGCUGAACCUCAACCAGGUCCCUCAUAUUGUCAGGUGCAAGUUUUGAAAGAUGUGACCAACUGCUAUUCUGAACCAAAACCAGUACCAACCUAUAAAAAACCAAUACUUGAACCUCUACCUGGGAC